rnacentral:snRNA from 1 species
AUUCUUAAAAUUUCGAAUCACAAA